rnacentral:rRNA from 1 species
UACGAAGGGGGCUAGCGUUGCUCGGAAUUACUGGGCGUAAAGCGUGCGUAGGUGGUUCGUUAAGUCUGAUGUGAAAGCCCUGGGCUCAACCUGGGAAUGGCAUUGGAAACUGGCGACCUAGAGUGCGGUAGAGGGCAGUGGAAUUCCCGGUGUAGCAGUGAAAUGCGUAGAGAUCGGGAGGAACAUCUGUGGCGAAGGCGACUGCCUGGACCAGCACUGACACUGAGGCACGAAAGCGUGGGGAGCAAACAGG